rnacentral:lncRNA from 1 species
GUGCUCAUUUCUGGUUCUGCACAAAAGAGCCACAUUUCCUUUUGGAACCGGGACCAGGAGACAGACAGCAGCAGACAUUGGAAGUUGUUGUGAAGAUUUGAGACUGUGAA